rnacentral:lncRNA from 10 species
UGUAGAGACAAGGUCUCCUUAUGUUGCCCAGGAUGGUCUUGAACUUCGGGGAUUUAUUUAAUUUUUACAAUAAAUGAUUUGCAUUUAGAAAAUUAGAAUUAAUUACAGUUGAGUCUUGAGCAAGAUGAGAAUUAGGGUGCUCAUCCCCCCAUGCAACUGAAAAUCUGCUUUAUAUGAAAAUCGGUUUCUUUUGACUCCUCCAAAACUCUACUAAUUGUCUACUGUUGACCUGGAGCCUGAAAAAAGGUGAAAGCAGAAGCAGUCAAUUAACCCAUAAUUUCUAUUUUAUAUGUACUAUAUACUGUAUUCUUAGAAUAAAGUGAGCUGGAGAAAAGAAACUGUUAUAAAGAGGAAGAAAUAUGUUCACUAUUUAUAAGAUGGAAGUGAAUUAUACAUAAAGGACUUCAUUCUCAUUGCCUUCACAUUGAGUAGGCUGAUAAGGAGGAGGCAGAGGAGAGAUUUGUCUUGGUAUCUUGCAGUGGCAAAGGAAAAGAAAAAUCUGUCUAUUAGUGGGCUCCUAGAGUGAAAACCCUUAUUCAAAGAUCAACUGUGUGGCAUAGUGACUUGUGUCACUAAAAAAGUAACUCUCUUUAGAAUUUGGAACUCAAUAAUACUUUUCUUGAACCAUAAAUGAAUGUCAAUAAGAAUUAACAUAACUUAACGAGGGUGCAUCAGUACCAAUAGGAGAUUAUUUUUCAAAGAUACCUACCGAGUGCAGAAGUCAGAAAAGCAAUUCUUUGUUGAGAAGUGCAGGUUAUGUUACAUAGUCUUGUACCAACAAGGUCUCACUAUUAUCUACUUCAUUCCCUCUAAGUUGAAACCAAAUAAGAUAUAUUUACUUCAUUAGAACAAGAUAUGUUGUUCUAUCUGCUGGAUAAUUAGUGUGUUAAUAGUAAUUUUGUUACAACAAGUUACUCUGUUCCUACUAGCCAAAAUAUUAUCAUUAUAAAUAUCCAACUAGCUCAAUUCUAGGCUCAACAAAUUAUAAUAAAAGUGGAAAAAGUUUUCACAAUAACAAAAGUGCUACUGUGAUACCUAAAUGUGACACAAUACAUUGUACAAUAUGAACUGUAUUAGUACUUCUUUAAUUUAUUACAUAUUUAUCAAAGGACUUCUAUAAGUUAGAUUUUGCAAGAUGCAGGAGACCAAGAUGGAAUACACAUAGUCUGGG